CCUACGGGAGGCAGCAGUAGGGAAUAUUGCUCAAUGGGGGCAACUCUGAAGCAGCAACGCCGCGUGGAGGAUGACGGUUUUCGGGUUUUAAACUCCUUUUGUUAGUGAAGAUAAUUACGUUAUCUAACGCAUAAGCACCGGCUAACUCCGUGCCAGCAGCCGCGGUUAUACGGAGGGUGCAAGCGUUACACGGAAUCACUGGGCGUAAAGAGCGCGUAGGCGGGAUAACAAGUCAGAUGUGAAAUCCUAUGGCUUAACCAUAGAACUGCAUUUGCAACUGUUAGUCUAGAGUGUGAGAGAGGUAGGUGGAAUUCGUGGUGUAGGGGUAAAAUCCGUAGAGAUCAAGAGGAACACUCAUUGCGAAGGCAGCCUGCUAGAGCAUAACUGACGCUGAGGCGCGAAGGCGUGGGGAGCAAACAGGAUUAGAUACCCCUGUAGUC
rnacentral:rRNA from 1 species